rnacentral:sRNA from 1 species
AGAUACCAGGGACAAAAAGCCGGACGUCCGGCGCGGGCUUGCCGGCCGGGGCGGUUUCGGUUUUCUGGCCCGCCAAAACAAGAACAGGCAGCCGGUUUCAAAAAGGGCGGACGGUUUCCGUUUUGGGACUGCAGGGGCGCGCGGCGCGAAACAAUCUGGUAUCC